rnacentral:rRNA from 1 species
AACAUCUAAGUACCCCGAGGAAAAGAAAUCAACCGAGAUUCCCCCAGUAGCGGCGAGCGAACGGGGAGGAGCCCAGAGCCUGAAUCAGCAUGUGUGUUAGUGGAAGCGUCUGGAAAGGCGCGCGAUACAGGGUGACAGCCCCGUACACAAAAGCGCAUGUGCUGUGAGCUCGAUGAGUAGGGCGGGACACGUGGUAUCCUGUCUGAAUAUGGGGGGACCAUCCUCCAAGGCUAAAUACUCCUGACUGACCGAUAGUGAACCAGUACCGUGAGGGAAAGGCGAAAAGAACCCCGGCGAGGGGAGUGAAAAAGAACCUGAAACCGUGU